GAACAAAAACAGAAUAAUAAAUGUAUACUAUUCAAUUUUUCUUAGAAUUACGAUCUAUACCCAGCAAACACCAAAUAUAAAUGCAAUAUAACGUGAGAGUAACAUGUAAUAUAACAGACGUUACACUCUAUUUAUAUUAUAGUUACGAAACUUUACUACAUAUAUGUGAUGUAACAAAGUUAUGAAGCUAUAAUAUUACUUCGUUAUUUGUAUGUUACAAUAACCGGACAGUGAUGUAACCACAAUGUUGCGUGGUUACACAACAAUUGUUUUACUUAUGUUAUAUAAAUAUUAUAAAAUUUGAAUCUUGUGAGACUCUAACCUCAAUCGCACAACGUACAUCUCGUGCAUUAGGCGCGCUUUCCCCUAGUGGAUGCUAUAAUGACGAAAGAGAGACGUUGUUUUCUUGCAACUUGACUUUAAUCAGAAUUCUGCCAAUUAUUCUUACAUCAUUCGGACAACUGUUCUUCUUAAAAUUUAUAAGAACGUAAAGAAUAACUGAAGUUUAUAAAAGUUGAAGAAAUUUUCACAAGGAUUAGAACAGCCUGCGACCACAUCAUCGGCAGAAAACUGAACUCAAAUGGAAGCGCUUGCACUCAUGUCACUAUCAUGUCCUGACAAUUUCGGAUUUAAUAAAACUAUAGAAGACGU